AGCUCCAAUAGCGUAUAUUAAAGUUGUUGUGGUUAAAAAGCUCGUAGUUGAACCUUGGGCCUGGCUGGCCGGUCCGCCUCACCGCGUGUACUGGUCCGGCCGGGCCUUUCCCUCUGUGGAACCCCAUGCCCUUCACUGGGUGUGGCGGGGAAACAGGACUUUUACUGUGAAAAAAUUAGAGUGCUCCAGGCAGGCCUAUGCUCGAAUACAUUAGCAUGGAAUAAUAGAAUAGGACGUGUGGUUCUAUUU
rnacentral:rRNA from 1 species